UGGGGAAUCUUCCGCAAUGGGCGAAAGCCUGACGGAGCAACGCCGCGUGAGUGAAGACGGCCUUCGGGUUGUAAAGCUCUGUUAUAGGGGACGAACGGCCGGGUAGCGAAGAGGUAGCCGGCAUGACGGUACCGUAAGAGAAAGCCACGGCUAACUACGUGCCAGCAGCCGCGGUAAUACGUAGGUGGCAAGCGUUGUCCGGAAUGAUUGGGCGUAAAGGGCGCGCAGGCGGCUGUGUAAGUCUGUCUAGAAAGUGCGGGGCUAAACCCCGUGAGAGGAUGGAAACUGGACAGCUGAGAGUGUCGGAGAGGAAAGCGGAAUUCCUAGUGUAGCGGUGAAAUGCGUAGAUAUUAGGAGGAACACCGGUGGCGAAAGCGGCUUUCUGGACGACAACUGACGCUGAGGCGCGAAAGCCAGGGGAGCAAACG
rnacentral:rRNA from 2 species